rnacentral:rRNA from 1 species
UACGAAGGGGGCUAGCGUUGCUCGGAAUUACUGGGCGUAAAGGGCGCGUAGGCGGAUAGUUUAGUCAGAGGUGAAAGCCCAGGGCUCAACCUUGGAACUGCCUUUGAUACUGGCUAUCUUGAGUUCGGGAGAGGUGAGUGGAAUGCCGAGUGUAGAGGUGAAAUUCGUAGAUAUUCGGCGGAACACCAGUGGCGAAGGCGACUCACUGGCCCGAUACUGACGCUGAGGCGCGAAAGCGUGGGGAGCAAACAGGG